rnacentral:rRNA from 1 species
GCUGGUCGACUGCAAGCAGACGACCCGUGCACUCGUAUCUACAUCGGGGAGGGCAUCGAACGGGUCCUGGGCCCUCCGGUGCCAUCCCAUACCGGGGGUGGGCUCAUUGUCCAUCUCGACUAAGAGUCCGCCUUCCCCGGUUGUACAACGAACCCCGGCGCAAACCGUGCCAAGGAAAUUCAACAGAGAGAUCACGCCGCCCGCUCCCGUACGCGGGCUGUGCGCGGUGAUGUAUUCUUGCAUAUAAUAACAAAACGACUCUCGGCAACGGAUAUCUAGGCUCUCGCAUCGAUAAAAAACGCAGCCGAUACUUGGUGUGAAUUGCAGAAUCCCGUGAACCAUCGAGUUUUUGAACGCAAGUUGCGCCCGAAGCCAUUAGGCCGAGGGCACGUCUGCCUGGGCAUCUCACAAUGCGUCGCUCCCCCCACUCACCUUGUGGUGUCGUGUGAGGUGCGGAUAUUGGCUCCCCGUGCCCUACAGUGUGCGGUUAGCCUAAAAGCGAAUCCCGACAAUCGACGUCGCGGCGAGUGGUGGUUGACAAAACCGUUGCAUGAUGCCGUGUGCGCUCCGAUCGCCCUCGGUGAUUCCUUGACCCCAAAGGUCCAUAGGAAUGGUGCCUCGUUCGAGACCCCAGGUCAGGCAGGAUCCCGGUG